rnacentral:rRNA from 1 species
AGCGAACGCUGGCGGCAGGCCUAAAACAUGCAAGUCGAACGCCGUAGCAAUACGGAGUGGCAGACGGGUGAGUAACACGUGGGAACGUGCCCUUUGGUUCGGAACAACACAGGGAAACUUGUGCUAAUACCGGAUAAGCCCUUACGGGGAAAGAUUUAUCGCCAAAGGAUCGGCCCGCGUCUGAUUAGCUAGUUGGUGGGGUAAUGGCCCACCAAGGCUACGAUCAGUAGCUGGUCUGAGAGGAUGAUCAGCCACACUGGGACUGAGACACGGCCCAGACUCCUACGGGAGGCAGCAGUUAGGAAUCUUGGACAAUGGGCGCAAGCCUGAUCCAGCCAUGCCGCGUGAGUGAUGAAGGCCUUAGGGUUGUAAAGCUCUUUCAGCGGGGAAGAUAAUGACGGUACCCGCAGAAG